AAGUAAUAUUUAAGGACCCACACUUUUUCUAGUUUAUAGCACUGCCGUUUUCAAAAAUGUCCCCCAAGUCAGUGUUCUUUUGCUUUUAGUCAGAGGGGGAAAAUGGUGCCUGAAGGAUGAGUGGAGUUUCUUACAGGCCAGAACUGGAAGUGGCACAGUUCAUUUCCACUCAUAUUUCAUUGUUAAGAACUCAGACACACCUAAUUGCAAAGGAAGUUUUGAAAUGUGUUAUUCUAGCUGUGGGCUCAGGAAGAAAAACUGAGUUUCGUGGGUGGCUAUUCAGACUGUGACAGCCCACUCUUUUGGUCAUCAAAUAUCUUAUACAGAGAAUAUGCCCAAAAGUGAAAACCCAAAACCUCAACCAGCCAUUGUAUCUAAAUCAAAAUCAAGCAUUUCCAGGAGAUGUGCAGUAAUUAUUGUCCAGUCUGCCUGUAGCUUCUCUUUAUCUGGAGAUAUAUGAACUAAGAAGACAAGUUGAUCACUGAAGAAGGCAGACUAAUACCCUGCCCCCACCCCUCCUCCAGAGAUAUCCAUGUCCUCAGCCCCAGAACCGAACUUUACAAUUUUGAAUAAAACUGCAGCAACACCAUCAUGCACUGUUCACCCUGACUAAUGACAUUUUCACUUCUGAAAAUCACUAUCUCCAAAGAAAGUCAUAAAAUAGAAAGAAUAUAAGGUGCAAUACCCUGUAACAAGUUUACAAAAUAGCUUCAGAGUUUCUGAUUUGCAAACAAGCAUCCAAAAAACAACUUGAAACCUACCCAAAACAGAAAAAGUGGCCACAACUUGGAAGAAGAGACAAAAUAACAUGUAUACAUCCAUGAAGAUUAUUGGGCCACUGGGAUUCACGUGAUAUAAAGAUGAAAUGCUAGCAAUGCCUGUUUGAAGCCUAUCAAGACAAUAACAUUUUCAGAGCACCUAAUAUAUGCCAGCUAAUGAAUUGGCACCAAUUCAGAGCUCCACAAUCAAAGCUCUAUUGGAGAUUGGAAGGUGGAAAAAGAAAAGGAAAUCUACAUAUCAAAAUAAAAUUGCUCACACUUAAGAGAAACCAGAGUCAGCGAGAAUGAAAGCAUUCCCAACUAUAAGUUUUUCUUCUCCAUGCCUGAAACUUCAACACUUACCUAUUUAGAAAGUGAUCGAGUAUCAGGCUAGCAUUAUCUAACCUAGUGUAAUGAUAAGAUGCAGCCAUUACAUUAUAGCUGAGCUGCAGUUUGAAUCAUGAGGGUUCCAAAUCCCUCUGGAGGAUCCUACAUUAAAUGGUUUCAAAGUGUUGUUUCAGUACAAGCAACAGUUGCUAACAUCAGCUCGAUGUUGUUUAGCAUCAGCAACACUUGGGAAUGGAUUAGAAACGCAAACUCUUGGUCCUCUGCAUUCUAAUCAACCAUCCAGGUGAGUCUAUGCAUGCUAAAAUUCUGGAACCAUUGUCCCAUACACAAUAGCUUUAGGAAUGACAAUAAAGGAAUCCAGGAACUGAUGCUUAGACUCUGUCAACUUUGACUCAUUUGUCUAUAUUUGUCCACAAGGCCUGACAGUCACAUGUAAGAGAAGAGUGGGCAAAUCUUACUGAGACAACUUCCUUACCAAAUAAACCUCCUUUUAUAACUUAAAGAUCUUGAAUCCAGAGCUAUACUUUCUCCCUCAGUCACAUAAAAUUCUCUGCUUCCUUUUUCAGCUCUAGUCAACCCUUCUAAAGUCUAAACAUAUCACUGAAGAAUAUUGACAACAAGUACAUCUCUUUAACUGCAGAAUUUCAGAUGGUUUGUUGAGUGGCAGAAAGAGAGAGUAGACCCAUUGUAAGUUGAGUAUCUAUUCAGCCAGGAAAGAUAAAUUCAAUAGAAGUGAGGUGACUAGAUAGAGCAGGAUUAGAUAAAGAGUAUCUUGGGUUGAAUUUCCCUGGCCCCUUCUUUGCUAAUUAUGUAUGCAUCUGCCAAUGACACUUUCCAUACUGUGUUUUUUUCCUAUUAAAUAUAAUGAUUAGAUAAUUUCUAUACCACUGCUCUUUCAUACUAGAGGUUUAUAUCACUGUAUCAGAAGAAUAUACCUUAGUAACCCAUGUAUAUCUGUUUAAAUGAAUGCAUAUAGAUCUUUUUUGUUUCUUGAAUAAAACUCAGUGCCAACAAGGACACUCCCUCAGCAGGGGAAAGAAGCAAGACUGGUCUUUGCCCACAUGUCUCUGCGUAAUAAUUCUGCUGCCAGAUUUUCAAGGUGCAAGAGUAUUUCCACUUCAAUGUCAUUUAUCCAUUUUUUAAAAUGUGAAUUUGUAGUUUGCAAAUUUGCAAAUCAUACAUCUGAUAAGGGCUUACAAUCUAAAUUGUAUAAGAAACUCACAUAACUCAAUAACAAAAAAAAAACACCAAAUAAUCAAAUAAUCCAAUUAAAACAUGGACAAAGAAUUUGAAUAAUUAUUUCUUCAAAGAAGACAUAAAAAUUACUAACAAGUGUAUGGAAAGGGGGUCUAUAUCAAUAAUCAUCAAGGAAAUGCAAGUUCAAACCACAAUGAGAUAUCACCUCACUCCUCUUAGGAUGGCUAUUAUAAAAAAAAAAAGAUAAAACAAGUGUUGACAAGGGUGUGAAAUGUAAAUUGGUACACUGUUGGCAGCCAUUAUGGAAAACAACAUGGAGGUUCCUCAAAAAUUAAAAAUAGAACUACUGAAGCAGGAUAUUUCCCUGACCCCUAUGCGGGCCUCAUGACGGGUUACUCAGCCCGCAGCUAUCAACCCCUCACAGGAGGGGGAGCAUGCAGGUGCGCAGGUACCGGAGCCGGGACAUGCCCUUUUGGGCACCGGCAGGAAUGAACUUCAUACUGGCCCAGCAGCACUGUCUGGUGGGGGCGGUGUUCCUGUGACUCCGGAAGCCCCAGAGAGAGUGUUACAGUCAGUGCUUUUUUAGCUUUGUUGCCUGUGGAUGGCUUAAAUGUUAACAGAUCAGUGGAGUGUGACAGCCUUUUACACCUAUACUCAUGACUCCAAGCUCUUGUCCAGUGUCCAGGAAAAAUGAGUUUGCAUGAAUGAAUUGAAGAUGGUAAAGGUGGGGGAUUUUAUUGCCGAUGAAAGUGGCUCUCAGUGGGAAGAGGAGCUGAAAAGAGGACGGAGCAGGAAGGUAAUCUUCCCCUGAAGUCCAGCCUUCCCUUACCAGACUUGUCUCUGAAGCUAUGCUGUCAAGCUGUUCCUCUGAAGUCAAGCCACUUCUCCCUAAUGUCCAACUGUAGUCUCUGACAUUCAGCUGCUUCUCCUCUCUCUGCCAUAUGAGCCUUGGAUUUUUAUAGGCACAGGAUUGGGAGUGGGGCAGGCCAUGGGUUGUUUUAGAAAAGGCAACAUUCGAAUGGGAAAACAAGGAUGUAAGUUCUCACUUUGGGCCAUAGUUCCAGGCUUGAGGAUGGGGCCCUAGCCAGGGACCUACACUCUUCUGCCCAGAAUUUCGCUUCUUCCUGUCGCUAUCACUGCUAAAUGACCCAGCAAUGCCUCUGGGUAUAUACACAAAGGAAAUGAAAUCAGAACAUCAAAGAGAUAUCUGCACUCCCAUGUUAAUUGUAGCACUAUUCACAAUAGCCAGAAUAUGGAAACAAGCUUCUGUCAAUUGAUGAAUGGAUAAAUUAUAGUAUACACACAAUGGAAUAUUAUUCAGCCUUAAAGAAGAAAGAGAUCCUACCAUUUAUAACAACAUGGAUGAACCAGGAGGACAUUAUGCUAAGUGAAAUAAGCCAGACAGAGAAAGAAAAAUAGUGCAUGAUCUCACUUACAUGUGGAAUCUAAAAAUAAAAUGAAAUACAAAGAGAAUAUAAUCAUGGUUACGAGGGGUAGGCGAGUCAUAGGAAAUGAGGAGAUGUAAGACAAAGGGUACAAAGUUGUAGUUGUAUAGAAUAAACAAGUCUAGAGCUCUAAGGUACAGUGUAAGGACUACGUUUACACUAUUAUACACUGGAAAUUUGCUAAGAGAGUAGAUUUUUGGUGCUCUCAGCACACAAACAAAAGGAUAACUAGGCAAGAAGAUAGAUAUGUUCAUUUGCUUGACUAUUACUUAUUAUUUCACUAUGUAUAUAAAAACAUCAUGUUGUACACCUUAAAUAUAUAUAGUAAAUUAUGGAUAUAUUAUGGAUAUAUAUGGAUAUAUAAAUAACUCUCUUGCCAGAUUUUUAGGGUCCAAUAGUGUUGCCUCUGUACGAUAAUUUAUCCAUUUUUUAAAAAUAAGGCAUUUUCUUGUUUUUUGGCAUUUCCUGUUUGUACAAGCUUUACAUGUAUUAAGGAUUGUAAUUAUUUGCCUACGAUAUAUGUUGCAUACAUUUUCACAGCUCACUGUUUGUCUUUUAUAUAUUUUUUCAUAUAUAAACCAAUUUUUUCUUAUCUAAACAAAUUUAUUAAUUUUCCCUUUAUGUUUCUAUAUCUGUUCUAUUAUUUUAAAAUGUACUCUCAAUCCAAAUAAGAGUUAAU
rnacentral:lncRNA from 10 species